GUCACGAUGGCCGAGCGGUCUAAGGCGCUAGACUCAAGAGGAGAGAUUCUCUUGCCUUCUGUGAAGGCAGCAUUCUAGUAGAGAAAUCUGCGUGAGUUCGAAUCUCACUCGUGACA
rnacentral:tRNA from 1 species